rnacentral:tRNA from 1 species
GGAAGGGUAGCAAAGUGGUCUACUGCAGCGGCCUGGAGAGCCGCGCCCCCCAAAGGGGCUCGUGGGUUCGAAUCCCACCCCUUCCG